rnacentral:rRNA from 1 species
UACAGAGGGGGCAAGCGUUAAUCGGAAUUACUGGGCGUAAAGCGUGCGUAGACGGUUAUUUAAGUCAGGUGUGAAAGCCCUGGGCUUAACCUAGGAAUUGCGCUUGAGACUGGAUAGCUUGGAGUGCGGCAGAGGGAGGUGGAAUUCCACGUGUAGCAGUGAAAUGCGUAGAGAUGUGGAGGAACACCGAUGGCGAAGGCAGCCUCCUGGGCCAGCACUGACGCUCAUGCACGAAAGCGUGGGGAGCAAACAGG